GGCGUAUUCAUCUAGUGGUUAGGAUACCAGGUUUUCAUCCUGGAAACACGGGUUCGAUUCCCGUAUACGCUG
rnacentral:tRNA from 1 species